AGUAGAGAUGCAAUGAAUUUUAAAAAGGUUCUUUCUUGGGACAAUGUUUUCAGUAUGUUAUAAUGACAACAUAUAAAGAAUUCAAAGGUAACUUAAGUGUACUGGUUGGAGGUUUAGACCUGGGUUCAAGAAAUCUGAGUUCUAGGUCCCAAAGAACUAUGGCAGUCACAGGUUGUGCAAGCCUGGUCCAGAUAUUGUAUGUUAACCUGAACUUCUCUUGCAAAGAAAAACUGGAAAAGAAAGCAGCCUUGUGUCAGGUACCUUGACCUCACUGGAGGAAAAUAAAAACCAAACUUGGCACAAAGAAAACCCUUAAAGAGUAGUUUACAAAAGCAAAAACCAAA